UUUUCGCUGUGUUCUUCAUUUUGACAUAGGACAUGCUUACUUCAGUGCCAAGAGCUUUUAUGGAAAUGAAGAAUAUAUCUAUAUAAGAAAAUCACUGUGCAAGUUCCCAGCCAUUACUUCACUCACCUGGGAAUGAGGAAUAUCUCAGCUGCAACUAAUGACAUAAAUAGGGUGGAAAUGGGGACUACUCUACCGCUUUACAGCAGAGUAGAAGACUACUUCUGUGCUGGCUGUUUGGCUUGAAGAUCAGAU
rnacentral:lncRNA from 1 species